rnacentral:rRNA from 1 species
GACAGAGGGUGCAAACGUUGUUCGGAAUUACUGGGCGUAAAGCGCGUGUAGGCGGCCAUCUAAGUCGGGCGUGAAAUCCCACGGCUCAACCGUGGAAGUGCACUCGAAACUGGAUGGCUAGAGUCCUGGAGAGGAAGGUGGAAUGCUUGGUGUAGAGGUGAAAUUCGUAGAUAUCAAGCGGAACACCGGUGGCGAAGGCGGCCUUCUGGACAGUGACUGACGCUGAGACGCGAAAAGCGGUGGGGAGCAAAC